AGUGGGAUAGCUGGGUCAAAUGGUGGUUCCAUUUCAAGUUUUCCAUACUGCUUUCCAGAUUGGCUGCACCAAUUUGCAGUCCCACCAGCAAU
rnacentral:pre_miRNA from 1 species